rnacentral:rRNA from 1 species
GUGGGGAAUCUUGCGCAAUGGGCGAAAGCCUGACGCAGCCAUGCCGCGUGAAUGAUGAAGGUCUUAGGAUUGUAAAAUUCUUUCACCGGGGACGAUAAUGACGGUACCCGGAGAAGAAGCCCCGGCUAACUUCGUGCCAGCAGCCGCGGUAAUACGAAGGGGGCUAGCGUUGCUCGGAAUUACUGGGCGUAAAGGGCGCGUAGGCGGACAGUUUAGUCAGAGGUGAGAGCCCAGGGCUCAACCUUGGAAUUGCCUUUGAUACUGGCUGUCUUGAGUACGGGAGAGGUGAGUGGAACUCCGAGUGUAGAGGUGAAAUUCGUAGAUAUUCGGAAGAACACCAGUGGCGAAGGCGACUCACUGGCCCGUUACUGACGCUGAGGCGCGAAAGCGUGGGGAGCAAACAGGAUUAGAAACCCCGGUAGUCC